rnacentral:rRNA from 1 species
UUGCAAUCAGCGUCAUAAAAUAUAUUAAUAUUUACAACUUUCAACAACGGAUCUCUUGGUUCUGGCAUCGAUGAAGAACGCAGCGAAAUGCGAUAAGUAGUGUGAAUUGCAGAAUUCAGUGAAUCAUCGAAUCUUUGAACGCACAUUGCGCCCCUUGGUAUUCCAUGGGGC